rnacentral:rRNA from 1 species
AUUGAACGCUGGCGGCAGGCCUAACACAUGCAAGUCGAGCGGAUGAAGGGAGCUUGCUCCUGGAUUCAGCGGCGGACGGGUGAGUAAUGCCUAGGAAUCUGCCUGGUAGUGGGGGAUAACGUCCGGAAACGGGCGCUAAUACCGCAUACGUCCUGAGGGAGAAAGUGGGGGAUCUUCGGACCUCACGCUAUCAGAUGAGCCUAGGUCGGAUUAGCUAGUUGGUGGGGUAAAGGCCCACCAAGGCGACGAUCCGUAACUGGUCUGAGAGGAUGAUCAGUCACACUGGAACUGAGACACGGUCCAGACUCCUACGGGAGGCAGCAGUGGGAAAUAUUGGACAAUGGGCGAAAGCCUGAUCCAGCCAUGCCGCGUGUGUGAAGAAGGUCUUCGGAUUGUAAAGCACUUUAAGUUGGGAGGAAGGGCAGUAAGUUAAUACCUUGCUGUUUUGACGUUACCAACAGAAUAAGCACCGGCUAACUUCGUG